rnacentral:rRNA from 1 species
GACAGAGGGUGCAAACGUUGUUCGGAAUUACUGGGCGUAAAGGGCGCGUAGGCGGGAUGGCAAGUCGGUCGUGAAAUCCCUCGGCUCAACCGAGGAACGUCGAUCGAUACUGCUGUUCUUGAGGAUUGCAGAGGAGACUGGAAUUCCCGGUGUAGCGGUGAAAUGUGUAGAGAUCGGGAGGAACACCGGUGGCGAAGGCGGGUCUCUGGGCAAUUCCUGACGCUGAGGCGCGAAAGCGUGGGGAGCAAACGGG